UUCAUCUAUUUCUGUCACCCAUUGACAGUACAGUUCAGCGGACUUCAGUUCACUCGAAUCUGCCCUUCGUAAAUGUUCCUUUCACGUUCAGUUAGUCAUUCCGCGAUUUUAACCAUGCAUGUCAGUGACUUAACGCUUCAAUUUAACUGUAUUUUCGUAAACUAACAAUAAAUUAAACCGAUUUCACUAUUAUUUUAAUGUAUAGUUUGGUGAUUACGAUGUACGAUGUUGCAGUUGCCGAUAAAGUGUCAAGGUUUUUUGGCGGGAUAUAAAUAAAUUCGGAACAAUCAUGGGCGACGGUUUUGUUUUUUUUUAUUUCCAGUGCCUUUUUCUCGGCGCUGGUGCGUGGAUUUUUCGAUAAAAAUUGAAAGAAGAUGGCCUACUUAACUGGCAUUUUGACUGACGUACGCACGUGUUCGCGCGACGCGAGGCGAGAUCGAGUUCACGUCGAGAUGAGAUCCGAUCGACAUUGGAGCACAUGGUUGGGGAGACGUUAUGAAAAGAUUUGAUGCUCCUAAGGAAAGGAAAGGAUGAAGUCAGCCGUUCAUCGAGGGGUCCGAGACAUAAACAGAUAAACUUACUAUCAUUUAUUAUUAUAUAUUUUAUUAAUAGUAGUUUAAUUUACGGACCAAAAAUAUGGUCCACCUGAAUCUAAAAUAAUCGCUACGACAAGUUUCGUGAAGGCAAAAAGACAUUGUCGACCAAUAGCGGCGGCGAAAAUACCGUCCUAUUGUGAUAUUUUGGAUUUCACCGCGAUUUUUCGACAAUGCCUUGUCUUCAUAAGAUAAUUCGUUGAUUAAACAAACUUACACCUACUGAUGCGAGCCCUAGAACACUUUGCUCGAAAUACUCAUGGUUGUCAACUGUCAACCAGGCGUAGGUGUUAAGCCCUAAUGUGUUAAUGCAUUCUCAUACAUAAAAAAUAAUAUUAUUGUAUUGCCAAGAAACAAGCUUAUUUAAAUUUUAUAUGUUUUUUUUUACA
rnacentral:lncRNA from 1 species